UAAUUGAAGAGGUUUGGAAAGACCCACCACAGAAGGUAAUAGUCCUGUAUGUUAAACGAGAAGACUUCAGAUAUGAUCCAGAGUACCACGGGACACGUGAAACCCUGUGGGAAGCAGGAGGGACCACCCUCCAAGGCUAAAUACUACCUAGUGACCGAUAGCGUAUAGUACCGUGAGGGAAAGGUGAAAAGAACCCCGGGAGGGGAGUGAAAUAGAACCUGAAACCCUGCACUUACAAGCUGUGGAAGCACAUUUCUUGUGUGACCGCGUACUUUUUGUAGAACGGGCCAACGAGUUACGUUAAGUAGCAAGGUUAAGCACUUAAGGUGCGGAGCCGUAGCGAAAGCGAGUUUUAACUGAGCGUUCAGUUACUUGACGUAGACCCGAAACCGGGCGACCUACCCAUGAGCAGGAUGAAGCGAAAGUAAAAUUUCGUGGAGGUCCGAACCCACGAGCGUUGAAAAGCUCGGGGAUGACUUGUGGGUAGCGGUGAAAUUCCAAUCGAGCCCGGAGAUAGCUGGUUCUCCCCGAAAUAGCUUUAGGGCUAGCCUCAAGGUGAGAGAUACGGAGGUAGAGCACUGAAUGUCCUAGGGGGUAUUGCACCUACCGAAGACUAUCAAACUCCGAAUGCCGUCAUCUUAUACUUGGGAGUCAGACUGUGGGUGAUAAGAUUCAUAGUCGAAAGGGCAACAGCCCAGAUCGUCAGCUAAGGUCCCUAAAUGUAAGUUAAGUGGUAAAGGAUGUGGGAUUGCACAGACAACCAGGAUGUUGGCUUAGAAGCAGCCACUCAUUCAAAGAGUGCGUAAUAGCUCACUGGUCGAGUGAUCCUGCGCCGAAGAUUUCCGGGGCUAAAACUUACUACCGAAGCUACGGCAUCAGUAAUGAUGGGUAGGGGAGCUUCCCAUACGGGUUGAAGCAUGACCGUAAGGACAUGUGGACAGUAUGGGAGUGAGAAUGUUGGCAUGAGUAGCGAGAUGUGGGUGAGAAUCCCACAGGCCGUAAACCCAAGGUUUCCAGGGGAAGGUUCGUCCGCCCUGGGUUAGUCGGGACCUAAGCUGAGGCCGAAAGGCGUAGGUGAUGGACAACAGGUUGAUAUUCCUGUAC
rnacentral:rRNA from 1 species